rnacentral:rRNA from 1 species
AGUGAACGCUGGCGGUAGGCCUAACACAUGCAAGUCGAACGGCAGCACAGUAAGAGCUUGCUCUUACGGGUGGCGAGUGGCGGACGGGUGAGGAAUACAUCGGAAUCUACUUUUUCGUGGGGGAUAACGUAGGGAAACUUACGCUAAUACCGCAUACGACCUACGGGUGAAAGCAGGGGAUCUUCGGACCUUGCGCGAUUGAAUGAGCCGAUGUCGGAUUAGCUAGUUGGCGGGGUAAAGGCCCACCAAGGCGACGAUCCGUAGCUGGUCUGAGAGGAUGAUCAGCCACAGUGGAGCUGAGACGGAGCACAGAGGCCGACGGGAGGCAGCAGUGGGGAAUAGUGGAGAAGGGGCGGAAGCCUGAUACAGCAAUACGGGGUAGGGGAAGAAGGCCCUAGGGUUGGGAAACCCUUUGGUUGGGAAAGAAAAACAGCACGUUGAGAAGCCGGGGUUCUGACGGUACCCAAAGAAUAAGCACCGGCUAACUUCGUG